UACGUAGGGUGCAAGCGUUAAUCGGAAUUACUGGGCGUAAAGCGCGCGUAGGUGGUUCAGCAAGUUGGAUGUGAAAGCCCCGGGCUCAACCUGGGAACUGCAUCCAAAACUACUGAGCUAGAGUACGGUAGAGGGUGGUGGAAUUUCCUGUGUAGCGGUGAAAUGCGUAGAUAUAGGAAGGAACACCAGUGGCGAAGGCGACCACCAGGACUGAUCCUGACACUGAGGUGCGAAAACGUGGGGAGCAAACAGGAUUAGAUACCCUGGUAGUCCACGCCGUAAACGAUGUCAACUAGCUGUUGGGUUCCUUGAGAACUUAGUAGCGAAGCUAACGCGAUAAGUUGACCGCCUGGGGAGUACGGCCGCAAGGUUAAAACUCAAAUGAAUUGGCGGGG
rnacentral:rRNA from 1 species